GACGACCGCUGGCGGCGUGCUUAACACAUGCAAGUCGAACGGAAAGGCCCUGCUUUUGUGGGGUGCUCGAGUGGCGAACGGGUGAGUAACACGUGAGUAACCUGCCCUUGACUUUGGGAUAACUUCAGGAAACUGGGGCUAAUACCGGAUAGGAGCUCCUGCUGCAUGGUGGGGGUUGGAAAGUUUCGGCGGUUGGGGAUGGACUCGCGGCUUAUCAGCUUGUUGGUGGGGUAGUGGCUUACCAAGGCUUUGACGGGUAGCCGGCCUGAGAGGGUGACCGGCCACAUUGGGAAUGAGAUACGGCCCAGACUCCUACGGGAGGCAGCAGUGGGGAAUAUAGCACAAUGGGCGGAAGCCUGAUGCAGCAACGCCGCGUGCGGGAUGACGGCCUUCGGGUUGGAAACCGCUUUCGCCUGUGACGAAGCGUGAGUGACGGGAAUUGGUAAAGAAGCACCGGCUAACUACGU
rnacentral:rRNA from 1 species